rnacentral:sRNA from 1 species
UAAAAGAUGCGUUUUCUCUGGACUGGGUAAAGGCCAAGAGAACACUGAAAAAUUUGAGGAUUAAAGCAAGUCCAUCCAAUCAAGAGUAUAAAAUUACUGGGCUUAGUGACCUCCCGUGCAAAGACCAAC